rnacentral:rRNA from 1 species
CGUAUAUUAAAAUUGUUGCAGUUAAAAAGCUCGUAGUUGAAUUUCUGCUGCAUUGCUUUUGCUCCUUUACGAGUCUUUGCAUUGUGGCUUAUUUCGGACUUUGUUUUACAAUGUCCGGAUGUUUACUUUGAGAAAAUUAGAGUGCUCAAAGCAGGCUUUCGCCUUGAAUAGUUUAGCAUGGAAUAAUAAAGUAGGACUUUGGUUCUAUUUUGUUGGUUUUAGGUACCAAAGUAAUGGUUAAUAGGAACAGUUGGGGGCAUUCGUAUUUAACUGUCAGAGGUGAAAUUCUU